GCGCUCACUAUCGGAUCGUUUUAGAAACAUCAGUGGCCAACAGAUCGCCAGAUCGUUGAGCUGCAUUGGCGGGAUUUCGCCGUCUUCGUUUCUCUUUCUUCGCGGACGAACACGCGCUGGGCCUGCAACGGCAGGAUCCAGGGUCCUUAACGGGAUAUGCGUUAGGGGCUUGUAGCUCAGUUGGUUAGAGCGCGCGCUUGAUAAGCGUGAGGUCGGAAGUUCAAGUCUUCCCAGGCCCACCAGCCUUCGCGCUUCGCUGCUUCGGCUAGGCAAGCCCUUCGAUAGGAAGGCUGCCACGCCGUAGCCUUGGCGAAGGCGGGCUAGUCAAACGAGCAUUCGUCUUCUGGUUACGGGGCCAUAGCUCAGCUGGGAGAGCGCGUGCUUUGCAAGCAUGAGGUCGUCGGUUCGAUCCCGUCUGGCUCCACCAGAUGGUUUGAUCACCGAGAUCGUGUACCGUCGUCCGCGAAACAUCACUUCGCAUCCUGCUAGUCUGGAUAGACGGCAAGAUGCGUGUUUUCUGACAUCGUAAAGAGGAGAUCGAUCCGAGUUGGGUCGUGCAGCAGAUUGUUGCGCGAGCCUUCAUUAUCUCCGGAUCAUUUUCGGCGCUCGCGUCCGACCGCAAGGUUGGCUGCGAGUUGUAAAAUGAUCCUUUUAGCGAAGCUUGACCGCCUCGCUAUCGGAACGAUCUUACGAAGCAAGCUGGUCUUUCUAGUCAAUGUCCGGCUGUACGUAGCGUUCAUCGAGGGCGCGUGCCGCAAGGCAGUCGUACAGACAACAUUCUGCCGAGUGUGUGGACAUUGAUAAUGAGAGCAAUCAAGUGCCUUAAGGGUGUUCGGUGGAUGCCUUGGCGCUGAGAGGCGAUGAAGGACGUGCUACGCUGCGAUAAGCCGUGGGGAGCUGCGAAGAAGCUUUGAUCCGCGGAU
rnacentral:misc_RNA from 1 species